UGUCGUCAGCUCGUGUCGUGAGAUGUUGGGUUAAGUCCGUAACGAGCGCAACCUUGUCCUUAGUUACCAGCACGUUAUGGUGGGCACUCUAAGGAGACUGCCGGUGACAAACCGGAGGAAGGUGGGGAUGACGUCAAGUCAUCAUGGCCCUUACGGCCUGGGCUACACACGUGCUACAAUGGUCGGUACAAAGGGUUGCCAAGCCGCGAGGUGGAGCUAAUCCCAUAAAACCGAUCGUAGUCCGGAUCGCAGUCUGCAACUCGACUGCGUGAAGUCGGAAUCGCUAGUAAUCGUGAAUCAGAAUGUCACGGUGAAUACGUUCCCGGGCCUU
rnacentral:rRNA from 1 species